UAUAAAUAAGGGUCUGCAAGUCGCUCAGCGGCUACACAAUCGAAUUGCGGGAACUACCUAAAGCCUACAGUACCACCCUCCCCAAGAAAUUGGUGGGGCACGGUCAGAAUCUGUAGGAUGGUACAAUGGUUGAUCCGCAGCGAAGCUCCUACCGGCACUGCCCACGGAGAACGUUCACAGACUAGGUGGUUGUGGGGAGGGGUGACCUCUCUAAGAUAUAGUCGGGCUGUUGGGGAAACCUGGCAGGCAUUCGCUGAAUGAAACCGUUCCGUAGGUGAACCUGCGGAAGGAUCAUUACAGAGUAUCAUGCCCUCACGGGUAGAUCUCCACCCUGUGUUAUAAGUUACCUUUGUUGCUUUGGCGGGUCGCCGGUUCGCCGGCUCCUGGGGUCCCCUUGGACGUACCCGCCAAGGAACUUUUACAAACUCUGUGUUAAGUGUCGUCUGAGUACUAUAUAAUAGUUAAAACUUUCAACAACGGAUCUCUUGGUUCUGGCAUCGAUGAAGAACGCAGCGAAAUGCGAUAAGUAAUGUGAAUUGCAGAAUUCAGUGAAUCAUCGAAUCUUUGAACGCACAUUGCGCCCUGUGGUAUUCCGCAGGGCAUGCCUGUUCGAGCGUCAUUACAACCCUCAAGCUCUGCUUGGUGUUGGGCCACACCGGUAACGGUCGGCCCUAAAAUCAGUGGCGGUGCUGUCAGGCCCUAAGCGUAGUAAUCUUUCUCGCUACAGGGUCCUGCUACGUGCUCGCUAGACAA
rnacentral:misc_RNA from 1 species